rnacentral:rRNA from 1 species
CGGGGUGAGUAACGCGUGGGUAACCUGCCUUGUACUGGGGGACAACAGUUAGAAAUGACUGCUAAUACCGCAUAAGCGCACAGUAUCGCAUGAUACAGUGUGAAGAACUCCGGUGGUACAAGAUGGACCCGCGUCUGAUUAGCUAGUUGGUAAGGUAACGGCAUACCAAGGCGACGAUCAGUAGCCGACCUGAGAGGGUGACCGGCCACAUUGGGACUGAGACACGGCCCAA